UGGGGAAUCUUCCGCAAUGGGCGAAAGCCUGACGGAGCAACGCCGCGUGAAUGAAGAAGGCCUUCGGGUCGUAAAGUUCUGUCUUUAGGGAAGAAGUCUUUUUGUGUGAAUAAUGCAAGAAGGAGACGGUACCUAAGGAGGAAGCUCCGGCUAACUACGUGCCAGCAGCCGCGGUAAUACGUAGGGAGCAAGCGUUGUCCGGAAUUACUGGGCGUAAAGGGCGCGUAGGCGGGAUAUUAAGUUAGGUGUGAAAACUCCGGGCUCAACUUGGAGAGUGCACUUAAAACUGGUAUCCUUGAGGACAGGAGAGGAAAGUGGAAUUCCUAGUGUAGCGGUGAAAUGCGUAGAUAUUAGGAGGAACACCAGUGGCGAAGGCGACUUUCUGGACUGUAACUGACGCUGAGGCGCGAAAGCGUGGGGAGUGAACG
rnacentral:rRNA from 1 species